rnacentral:rRNA from 1 species
UACGGAGGGAGCAAGCGUUACUCGGAAUUAUUGGGCGUAAAGGGCGCGUAGGCGGCUUAACAAGUCACUUGUGAAAUCUCCGGGCUUAACUCGGAACGGCCAAGUGAAACUGUCAAGCUAGAGUGCAGAAGGGGCAAUCGGAAUUCUUGGUGUAGCGGUGAAAUGCGUAGAUAUCAAGAGGAACACCUGAGGUGAAGACGGGUUGCUGGGCUGACACUGACGCUGAGGCGCGAAAGCUAGGGUAGCAAACGGG